UCGUAAUGAGUACUAGACGUGAUAAUUAAUCUCAUACUAGAUUUUGACCCGCGCUUUCAAAGCGAGGGUUUUUUUUUGUUUUUUUUUUUCAAUUGACAAAUAUUUAGUAAAUGUCACAUUUUCAUAUAUUUGUGCUUUAUUUUAUAGAAGACUUAAAAUUUUUAUCUUUAUUUAUCGUAUUUCAUUUAAACGACUAUUUAUGUUAAAAAAAUUAAACUUUAUUUUUUUAAUGAAUUAAGUUGGUAUAACUCUGAUAAAUUAAUUUUAUUAUGGAGUUAAUAUUUUAAUUAAAAAAUUAUAUACUUUUAAUAAAGAUUUAUA
rnacentral:lncRNA from 1 species